AUGAGUCACAUCAACUAUCAUGUUCCAAGAAGUACAGGUAGAGGUGGAGGAGUAGCAGCAGUUUAUAAAUCAGAUUUAUUAAUUACUCCUAAACCUAAACAUAGUUAUAACUCAUUUGAGAGCCUCACUCUGAGCCUUUCUCACCCAGACUCUAAAACUCAGAAACCAGUUGUGUUUUGUAUUGUUUACCGUUCUCCUGCUCCAUAUUCAGAGUUCUUAACUGAAUUCUCUGAAUUCUUAUCUGACUUAGUUCUUAGCACAGAUAAAGUCAUUGUAGUGGGAGACUUUAACAUUCAUGUAGAUGUUGACAGCAACUGUCUCAGCACUGCUUUUAACUCCUCAAUAGACACUAUUGGUUUUACACAGCAGGUAAAUGAACCCACUCAUCGUUUUAACCACACCCUAGAUCUUGUCCUGACAUAUGGAGUUGAAAUUGAUAAUUUAAUAGUUCUUCCCCAAAACCCUCUGUUAUCUGACCAUUUCUUAUUAACUUUUGAAUUUAGCACAACUGACCCUAUAACAGCUGGAAAGAAAUGUUACUAUAGCAGAUGUUUAUCUGACAAUGCUGUUGCCAGAUUCAAGCAGAUGAUUCCAUCAUCUUUUGCCUCAAUGUCUUGCAGAUACACAGAGAACAGUCACCUUAAUCCUUAUGAACAGGUUGACUGUCUUGUAGAUGAUGCUGCAGCUUCUCUACGUACAAUGUUAGACACAGUGGCUCCUCUGAAGAAGAAGACAGUGAAUCAGAGGAGGUUAGCUCCGUGGUAUAACUCAGACAUCCGCAGUCUAAAGCAAAGGACUAGACAACUAGAAAGACAGUGGCGUUCCAACAAAAUGAAUGUAAACUGCAUUGCAUGGAAGGACAGUCUAAUGAAAUAUAAAAAAGCACUUUGUGCUGCUAGAAAAACAUAUUAUUCCUCCCUAAUUGAGGAAAACAAAAACAACCCCAGGUUUCUUUUCAGCACUGUAGCCAGGCUGACAAAGAGUCAUAGCUGUAUUGAGUCUACUAUCCCCUUAAAUCUCAGCAGCAAUGACUUUAUGAACUACUUUACUAAUAAAAUUAUCAUCAUUAGAAAAAACAUUCAGCAGUGA
rnacentral:lncRNA from 1 species